rnacentral:rRNA from 1 species
GACAGGGGAUGCAAGCGUUAUCCGGAAUGAUUGGGCGUAAAGCGUCUGUAGGUGGCUUUUUAAGUCUGCCGUCAAAUCCCAGGGCUUAACCCUGGACAGGCGGUGGAAACUACCAAGCUGGAGUACGGUAGGGGCAGAGGGAAUUCUCGGUGGAGCGGUGAAAUGCAUAGAUAUCGGGAAGAACACCAACGGCGAAAGCACUCCGCUGGGCCGAAAACUGACACUGACAGACGAGAGCUAGGGGAGCGAAUGGG